rnacentral:rRNA from 1 species
CCCGUCACGUCAUGAAAGUCGGUAACACCCGAAGCCGGUGGCCUAACCCCGUGUGGGAGGGAGCCGUCGAAGGUGGGAUCGGCGAUUCGGGACG